rnacentral:rRNA from 1 species
GAUGAACGCUGGCGGCGUGCCUAAUACAUGCAAGUCGAGCGAAUGGAUUAAGAGCUUGCUCUUAUGAAGUUAGCGGCGGACGGGUGAGUAACACGUGGGUAACCUGCCCAUAAGACUAGGAUAACUCCGGGAAACCGGGGCUAAUACCGGAUAACAUUUUGAACCGCAUGGUUCGAAAUUGAAAGGCGGCUUCGGCUGUCACUUAUGGAUGGACCCGCGUCGCAGUAGCUAGUUGGUUAGGUAACGGCUCACCAAGGCAACGAUGCGUAGCCGACCUGAGAGGGUGAUCGGCCACACUGGGACUGAGACACGGCCCAGACUCCUACGGGAGGCAGCAGUAGGGAAUCUUCCGCAAUGGACGAAAGUCUGACGGAGCAACGCCGCGUGAGUGAUGAAGGCUUUCGGGUCGUAAAACUCUGUUGUUAGGGAAGAACAAGUGCUAGUUGAAUAAGCUGACACCUUGACGGUACCUAACCAGAAAGCCACGGCUAACUACGUGCCAGCCGCCGCUGUAA